UAAGAAACAAAGGGCGUACAGUGAAUGCCUUGGUACCAAGAGCCGAUGAAGGACGCAACUAACGGCGAUACGCCGCGGGAAGCUGUAAGUAAGCGACGAUCCGCGGAUUUCCGAAUGGGGAAACCCACUACAGUGAAGCUGUAGUAUCCUUUUAUAGGGAGGGGAACGCAGGGAACUGAAAUAUCUAAGUACCUGUAGGAAAAGAAAGUAAAAACGAUU
rnacentral:rRNA from 1 species